rnacentral:rRNA from 1 species
UACGUAGGGGGCAAGCGUUGUCCGGAUUCAUUGGGCGUAAAGAGCGUGUAGGCGGCCAGGUAGGUCCGUUGUGAAAACUCGAGGCUCAACCUCGAGACGUCGAUGGAAACCAUCUGGCUAGAGUCCGGAAGAGGCGAGUGGAAUUCCUGGUGUAGCGGUGAAAUGCGCAGAUAUCAGGAGGAACACCGAUGGCGAAGGCAGCUCGCUGGGACGUGACUGACGCUGAGGCACGAAAGCGUGGGGAGCAAACAGG